UAUUAAUGCCACCAUGUAAUUCUACUGUCUCCGCUCCUACCACUACUCAUUCUAAACAUUUCAUUCUUUUCAUAUCAUACUCUCUUUUUUGGUUCCUACUUUGCUCCUCAUUCUUUCAUAUUCAUAUCACUUUUUAUGCUACUUCUUUUGGUUUUAUUGUUGUUUAGAACGCCAAUGACAACUUUGUAAUGUUUCCAGACGAUCAGUAAUUUAGGUUGACAUCAUGGGCUUAUGUUUUAGAUUACAUGUCAUAAUUUCAUGCCAUUAUAGUCUCCUUUGUUAAUAAUAAUUCUUAAGAUAUUGUAU